CACCUGGGGAAUGGCUCGGCUCGGGAGCCGAGGAAGGACGUGCCAAGCCGCGAUAUUACUCCGAGUAGGCGCAAGGAGCCGUUGAUCCGGAGAUUUCCGAAUGGGACCUCCUGGCCCUUCGGGGCCAUUCCUUCAUGGAAAGGGAACCCCCCGAACUGAAACAUCUUAGUAGGGGGAGGAAAAGAAAUCAACCGAGAUUCCGUUAGUAAAGGCGAUCGAACACGGAAUAGGGCAAACCGAAUCCCAGGUCGAAAGAUCAGGGAGAUGUGGAGUUUGGACUCGUGCACACCCACCCCAUAGAAGCCGAAUUCUGAUUGAAUGCGGAGCCGUAGAGGGUGCUAGCCCCGUAGGUGAACCGUGGACGGGUGAUUGCGAGUAUCCAGAGUAGCGUGCCUUGGAAAUGGCGCGUGAAUGCGGGGGACAUCGACCUCCAACCCUAAAUACUACCCGAGACCGAUAGCGCAAUAGUAGCGUGAGUGAAAGCUGAAAAGUAACUUUGGCGAGAGGUGAAAAGAACCUGAAACCAGGUGGCUAUAACCUGAUAUGGCGUGAAAGGGGCAACCCAGCGUCAUAUCGUCCGUUUCGAAAAACGGGCCAGGGAGUUCUGAUCAAUGGCGAGGUUAAGGCGUCUAACGCCGAAGCCAGAGGGAAACCGAUUUUCCGCAGCCUUCGGGCGAGGGAAGAGGUGUGCUCGCCUUUAGUCAUUGGUGGGAUACCCGAAACCUGACGAUCUAUGCGUGGGCAGGAUGAAGCUCGGUGAAAACCGGGUGGAGGUCCGUAGAGGUAUUGACGUGCAAAUCAUUCUCGUGACCUGCGUGUAGGGGUGAAAGUCCAAUCUAGUCAGGUAAUAGCUGGUUCCUCCCGAGACAACCCGUAGGUUGACCUCAGCAGAGGUAGAUGGUGGGGUAGAGCACCGAUUGGGUGUUUAGGGGGAGAAAUCCCUCGGCAUCCUGUCAAACUCCGAAUCUGCCAUCGCCGUAGAAGCUGGGAGUUAGGGCACCAGGGGUAAGCUCGGUGUCCGAAAGGUAAAAAAACCAGCCUGGUGUUAAGGUCCCCAAGUGCCGGUUAAGUGUAAACUCAAAGGUAGUCCGUGGUCUAAGACAAUUGGAAGGUGGGCUUAGAGGCAGCCAUCCUUUAAAGAGUUCGUAACAGAUCACCAGUCAAGAUUGUGGGCGCCGAAAAUGGACGGGGCUAAAUCGGCCACCGAUACACCAGAGCACCGUAAGGUGAUUUGGUAGGGAGGCGUCGUGCGUGGGUCGAAGCUGGGGGGUGACCUCCAGUGGACCGCGUUCGAAUGAGGAUCCUGGUAGGAGUAGCAGCAAAGAACGGUGAGAAUCCGUUCCGCCGCAGGGGCUAGGGUUCCUCGACAAUGUUCGUCAGUCGAGGGUUAGUCGGUCCUAAGACUGUCCCUAACCGAGGCAGCCGAAAGGGAAGCAGGUUAAUAUUCCUGCACCAUGUCGGUCCCUGUGCUAGCGUUGACGCAUCCGGAUAGGCCGUUCAGGGCCGUCGUUCUGUUCAAGCCUAUAAGCCCCCUGAGAACCGUAAUGGUGAGACGGGGACGAAAUGGUGAUGGGGCCCAGUAACUGGGCUUCGGUUUAUUCCAGGUGCCCGUGAAAAUUCGCUAGCAGUCAGCCGACGUGACCGUACCGAGAACUGACACAGGUGCCCCUAGGUGAGUAGCCUAAGGCGUGUUGGUGUAUAAUCCAGGCGAGGGAAUUCGGCAAAUUAGCCCUGUACCUUCGGUAUAAGGGGUGCCAGCCAUGAGAAUGACUGGUCGCAGUGACAAGGGGGGCCCGACUGUUUAAUAAAAACAUAUGUGGCAGCGAGUCCGGAAGGAUGUGUAUUGCCGCUGAAGCCUGCCCAGUGUCGGUAUCUCAAACUCCGUUUCAACGGAGCGAAGGACCGAUAAACGGCGGGGGUAACUAUGACCCUCUUAAGGUAGCGUAAUACCUUGCCGCUUAAUUGGCGGCUUGCAUGAAGGCCCAACGAGACCCCCACUGUCCCCGCCUGGAACCCAGUGAAACUGAUAGUACUGGCGCACAAUCCAGUUACCUCAAUCUGAAAGCGAAGACCCCGUAGAGCUUUACUGCAGCCUGCGGUUGUUGUAUGAGGUUGUAUGUGUAGGGUAGACGGGAGGCGUCGAUCCGUUGGACGCUAGUUCAACGGGGAGCCAACGAUGGAACACCGUCCUUAUGAUUUCGUACAUCUGACCGGUUCGCCGGGACAUCUGUAGGUGGGCAGUUUGGGUGGGGCGCCACGCCCUCGAAAAAGAAACAAGGGCGCCCAAAGGUCAGCUCAGGUAGUUCAGAACCCUACCGUUGAAUGUAAGGGUAAAAGCUGGCUUGACGCGGAUCCGGACCACAAGGAUCGGCGAUAGGAAACUAGGGCCUAACGAACCACAAUGGCUUAUUGAUGAGGCCUUGUGAUAACAGAAAAGUUACCUCGGGGAUAACUGAGUUGUCUCCAGUAAGAGCUCACAUCGACCUGGAGGCUUGCUACUUCGAUGUCGUCUCUUCCUAUCCUGGUGGUGCAGCAGCUGCCAAGGGUGGGGUUGUUCGCCCAUUAAAAGGGAUCGUGAGAUGGGUUUAGACCGUCGUGAGACAGGUUUGUUGCUUUUCGGUUGAGGUGCAGGGUGUCUGAGGGGAAAGAGCCUUUAGUACGAGAGGAACAGGGCUCUGGGGCCUCUAGUCGACCAGUUGUCCGACAGGGCAUUGCUGGGCAGCCACGCCCUAAGGGAUAAGAGCUGAAAGCAUCUAAGCUCGAAGCCCGCCCUGAAAAGAGACACCCUAAGGCUCUCGUAGAAGACGAGAUUGAUAGGACGGGGGUGUACGCACCGAGGUUCGCCGAGGUGUUCAGCCCGCCGUUACUAACCG
rnacentral:rRNA from 1 species